GUAUAUGAGGGUGAUCUGGCUGUGACAUCUGUCAAUCGCCAGGGUUGAUCUGGCUGAUCUGGCUGUCUGGCUAGGCAGGUGUCUCCUUUUUCCCUCACUGUUCCAUGUGUGUCCCUCCCGAAGCUGCAUGCUCAGUCCAUGAAGAUGAUCAUCCCUGAUAGAGGAAGACCAUUAUUAGGUCAAGGGUAUAUGAGUAGCUGCACUUCUCUGCUAGGAUCUCCAAACAAGCUCUCAAGAAUAAAGUCUGACCUGCCACAAGAUCCAACAAUACCACGCUUAGGGAUAUACCU
rnacentral:snRNA from 1 species